GUUCCUCCACGUUAUGUUCGCGCUGAGAUAGACCAUCCCCUGAUUCGCAACGACGAUUCUUCAACACGACAACUUCCAGUCAUUGACAUGCACAGGCUGCUCUCUGGGGAUGACUCAGAGCUUGAGAAGCUUGAGCAUGCAUGUAAAGACUGGGGUUUCUUUCAGGUACAUAAUAAUUGAGCAGUGAUAUUCAGAUAAUAAAAAUACUUGAUCGCAAAUCAUUGCUUUUGUUAGCGUUCUUUCGGCUCUCGGUGUUUUUAGCAUUUUCCAUAAAAAUCAUUUUAUUUCCUGAGCUUUAAGUUUCCUAUAAGAACCAUGUAUGGAAAGAACAGCUUGUUUUAAUCUGCAUAUAUGCAGUUGAUGAAUCAUGGAGUGAGCAGUUCAUUGGUGGAGAAAGUGAAAGAAGGAUUCAAGACUUCUUUAAUCUUCCAAUUGAUGAGAAAAAGAAAUUUUGGCAGCAGCCAGGGGAUAUUGAGGGAUUUGGGCAGCUUUUUAUUACGUCUGAGGAGCAGAAGCUUGAUUGGGGAUACGGCUUUACUAUGUUCACUCUCCCAACCCAUCUGAAGAAACCCCACUUGUUCCCCAAGUUGCCUCUCCCAUNNNNNNNNNNNNNNNNNNNNNNNNNNNNNNNNNNNNNNNNNNNNNNNNNNNNNNNNNNNNNNNNNNNNNNNNNNNNNNNNNNNNNNNNNNNNNNNNNNNNNNNNNNNNNNNNNNNNNNNNNNNNNNNNNNNNNNNNNNNNNNNNNNNNNNNNNNNNNNNNNNNNNNNNNNNNNNNNNNNNNNNNNNNNNNNNNNNNNNNNNNNNNNNNNNNNNNNNNNNNNNNNNNNNNNNNNNNNNNNNNNNNNNNNNNNNNNNNNNNNNNNNNNNNNNNNNNNNNNNNNNNNNNNNNNNNNNNNNNNNNNNNNNNNNNNNNNNNNNNNNNNNNNNNNNNNNNNNNNNNNNNNNNNNNNNNNNNNNNNNNNNNNNNNNNNNNNNNNNNNNNNNNNNNNNNNNNNNNNNNNNNNNNNNNNNNNNNNNNNNNNNNNNNNNNNNNNNNNNNNNNNNNNNNNNNNNNNNNNNNNNNNNNNNNNNNNNNNNNNNNNNNNNNNNNNNNNNNNNNNNNNNNNNNNNNNNNNNNNNNNNNNNNNNNNNNNNNNNNNNNNNNNNNNNNNNNNNNNNNNNNNNNNNNNNNNNNNNNNNNNNNNNNNNNNNNNNNNNNNNNNNNNNNACACGUCGCUUGCAUAAAAGCUAAGCUGUUAGCAUAGGAUAUGUAGUUGAUGACUAGUUUCAUCUAAUUUUUUCCUCCUCUUGAUUAUACUCUCUAACUUUUUUUUUUUUUAGGUUCAAUUUAUGAUCCUGUAGAUUUUUAGCAAUGGAACUUAUCGUGAUAUUGAACAUCGUGUGACUGUAAACUUAAUGAAGGAAAGGUUAUCUUUCACUACAUUUUACAACCUAAAAUUAGAUGGAGAAUUGGGUCUAGCACCAAGUCUUAUGAAAUUUCCAUGCGGAUACACUUUAAAACCACAUGGUUUAAAAGAAUUAGUUUUUAAAUCUUUUAAAACUCACAGUUUUAUAGUUCAUUCACAAACUAUUUUUUUUUAAAUCACACAGUUUAAAAUUGUGACCGCAUUAAUAAAAAUGCGGGCGUCCGCACCUGAGAAUAAAUUUUAUUGAAUAUUGAUAAAUUAAAAAAUAAAGUCGUGAAACAUAUACUAAGGUGACGUUUGUUUUUUAACUUAAUGACUUAAAGUGACUUAACUUAAUUAAUUAAGUUAAUUAGAUGUGUUUGUUUUUAUAACUUAAUGAGACUUUUUAGAUAAUUUUGACUUAAUAAAAUAAGCUAAUUUUUUUGGGUUUUUACUUAAUGGAGAAAUUUGAAUUAAGUCAAUUACUUGCUAAUGUCAAAAAUAUCCCUGUUUUAUAAUUUAUUUUUCACGUCUAUCCCAAAACUCACCCAUAGAUAUUUACCCCACAUAAAAAUAUCUCUGUUUUUUCUUUCUUAUAUUAUAUACGAUAAAAUUUGAAAUUUAUGGUAUUUUAUAUAUUAAAAUUCUAAAAUAAUUAUGUAUUCACUUGAAUAUAGUUUUACUUAUAAAUGUUAAAAUAUUGUGGUAUUUAAUAUAUUAUUUAUUUGACAUUCAAAUUUAAUAAGGAUACAAAUGUAAAAGUACAUAUUUUCAGCUUUUUAAGUUGAAAAAAACAAACAACUUAAUACUUAUUUUUUGAGAUUCAGACAAAAAAAUAAACAUAUUAUUCAUAUUCAGACAUUCAGACUAAUUCAGAUCUAUUCAGAUUUCAGACAAAAAAACAAACGCCACCUAAGUGUUGAUCUUGUAGCAAUGAUAUUUGCAGUAUUGGAGAAUUAUUGAUGGAAUAUAAAAACAAAAGAAGAAGAAUUGGGGUAGAGAUCGUGCAUAAAGAAAAAAAAACGCACACACACACACGUGGUACUGAAUUUUUUUUAUUUUAUUUCUUAAUAAUUAAGGAUAAUUUUUUUUUAUGUCAUAAUAUAUUUAAAAUUAUUUAAGUAUAAAAUUUGUUCUCAAAAUUAAAGUUAUCAAUAAUUUUAAGAAAAUUACCAAACAAAAUUAAAUUUUAAUAUUUUAAAAUUACUUUUGAGUAAAAUAGUAAUCUUAAAUGAGCCCUUAUUCAAUUACCAGGAUAAAACGAAAAUGAAUUUAAAUUUAAAGGACUUAAAUUAUAAUGCAGUUUAAAAAGUCACGGUCCCCUUCUAAAAUUCGUGAUUUCUACCAACGAUGCGGACCGAUCAACUAUGAAAUAUCCCAAUAGUUUCGUAACUUCUAUGAUUGGGCACGCGAACUUGACAGGCAUUGUCAUUGUUGUAUAUUUGUCUAUAUUUAAUUUACGAUUUUACGACGUAACACUUGAAAAAAAAAAACAUAAAAUUGUGUACACAAGUUUGUGUGGUCAGCCUGGUUUUAUAUUUCAAAAUGCCAGUUUUGUGGGAUUAGUACCAAUCUAAAGAUAAACCACACAAUGUGACACUACAUGGAUAAGAAUACUAUUCUACUGUGAAAUCUUAGCUUACCUUAGCUUUAAUUGAACGAACGUUUGGGAUAGACAAAUGAUAUUUGAACACUAUAAUGGCAUUAGGAUAUAAUACAAGUGAUGGUAGGUUGCGUAAAUGAUCCGCAUCAUUUUAGUGUGCCACAAAAUUAUGAUUUAUUGAAUAAUAAUAUUAUAGAGUGAUGUUAUUUGUACCCUAAAUUUUAUUUUAAAGACUGUAAUUUUUAAUAAAAAUAUUAUUACAAAAACUCCUCCAAUAUCAUUUACUAAUAAAGACAAUUCAAUUUAAGUUAAUGGAAUAUGAUUACUCUUCACACCAUUGAACGCACAUUCAAUUCAAUAAUCCAAUUACAAAACCCUGUAACUUUCUUUAACAAUAAAUCUAAUUUAUCAUUCGUAAAAGAAAAUAUUAAGGGUUUAAUAAAUAACCAACAAGCUACCAACAACAGCAAUUGAAAAAAAAUUUUUAUUUAUGCGGAAAAAAUGAGAAACAUUAUUUUGAUUUAAAAAAUUAAAAAUAAAACUGUACGUUUCAAACCCCCAAAAAGAAAAAGGAAAAAUAAUAAGAAAUCAGCUGCAUAUUGCUGCUGCUUCAAAAUUAUCAAUUGGAAAUACAAACUUGACUCCAGUCUAUAACUCUCUGGUAAAAUGAAGAGACAUUUCUCUUUUGACGGAAGUUUAUUUCAUUCAAAGAGAUGAGGGUCAUUUUUUUUUUUCAAGAGAUUUGAAUAUCAUUAACAAUAAUAGAAUUACAUAGAAUAAAGUUCUUUAGUCAACAAAGAAUUAAAUUGGGUGAGACGUAAGAUAUAAAUGGAGGACUAUUUUGGUAUUUAAAAGAAUGUGCUCAAUAAAAUCAAUUUUUAAAAUUUAUUAAAUGAGAGAACGAGUGUACAGAAUAAAGUGAUACUGUAAAAUCUAGAUUUCAAAUAGCCCCAUAUUAAGUCAUGGUUUGUCUUUUUAUUUUAAUUUUGAAAUAGGUUUGAAUGUUACUGAAGUUUGAAUGGCUUUGAAUGCUUAAGCUAGAAUAAUAUGUUUGGUUUUUAUUUUUUGGCAUCUGAGUGUAAGUGGUAAGUUGUUUGUAUUUUUACACUUAUGACUAGCUUAAAUAGAUAUGUAUUCAUAGUGUUUUCUAGUACAAUAGUUUUUAUAUGUUAUAAAUAUUUACAAGAAAAAUAAUUGAUAUAUAAUUUAUGAAAAAUAAUUUUGGUAACAUUAAUUUUUACAAUUUAGCAUAAUAUUUAUACAUAAAAAAAGUUGUUAUCUAUUAAUAAAAGAUUUUUUUUUUUAAAUUCAAAUUGAAUGUAUGUUAAAUACUUAAUAUGUAGUAAAAUUUCUUAUCUAUUGCCGCUGGAAGAUGGUAUCUCUACUGGAAGUCUUACUGUUAGAAUAUUUCCAUUAAUCUUUCGAAGUUUUGUUGGGUAACUUGGCUUGAUGGCUAGAAUUUGAAUUGCUUUUCUUAGAUUUUAAUUGGGAUUUAACUAUUGUUUUAUAUUUUAGAUUUUUUUAUAUUUGGGAUGUUUUAUUAUGUAUUGGUGGUGACGACAUUGAAUACUAGAUGUAUUUGUUUUGAAAUUAAUUUGUUGGAUUGAAUGGAGGUUAAUUAAUAUUAAUUACUUUUAGUUUUUUUGAUGAUAUUCAUUUUUAUUAGUUAAUUAAAUUUGUAAUCAGGAAUUCACAAAUAAAUUAUAAUCACAAUAGAAUUUUUUUUAAAAAAAAUUGACUUUAUGAUGGGAAAUAAUGAUCAUAAUGUUUGUCAUAAAACAUUUUGAGCCAAAAUUCAAUAAUAAAUUUACAAAUGAUAAUUUAAUUUCCCACCAAAAAUUUAAAAAAAUAGCGCAAAAAUAUAUAUAAAUUCAAAUUUUAAUUUAAUUAUUUUUCACAUUAAGAUAUUGUGUGACGUAUAUAUAACUGUAAAAUACUAUCAUGAAUUCAUGAUGGAAAAUAUUUUGUCAUAAAUUAAUGACAGUGAAAUAGAUGACAGAUGAACUGUUUGUCAUGCACCCCCUUUUACAAUAGUUAUUUCUCGUCAUCUAUUACCUGUUUUCUUGUUGUGAAAAUAGAUAUAACUUUAAAUUAUCUUCUUUUUUUUUAAGUAUAUUUAAUAAUGUUUAGACAUGCCUUUUUCUCUUUAAAACAAGUAAAAUUGCAUAAAGUGAAAAAAGAACUCUAUAAAUUUGUUAUAUAAAAAAUAUGAUUAAAAUUCAUACUAAUACAUAACUGAGAUAAAAUAAAAAAGUAGUAUGUAUUACAUUCGUAUUAAACUUGAUGCAAUAAACACCAUAACUAUAAUAUAUAUAUAUAUAUAUAUAUAUAUAUAUAUAUAUAUAUAUAGAGAGAGAGAGAGAGAGAGAGAGAGAGAUUGAAUAUUAAAAACCAUGGUUAUAAAAUUAAUUUUAAAAGUUAUGGUUAAUUUUCAUGUGAAAUUGUUCAAAGUUAAAAAAAAAAAUUUGCAUAAUUAUAUACAUACGUUUUUUAAUCUUAUAAUAGAAAAUAAAAGUAAAAUAUAAAAAAAAAUACAAACUUACUAGGUCAAAACUUUGAUACUAGAGAGAAUAUAUAAUAGUUGUGUCGGUAAUUUGAUUGUGAUGGUAAUGUGAUAUCUAAUGGUUUAAUAUUAUGGUGUAUGAGAAAGUAAGACAAUUAUUUUUUUAAUUAAAAUAUUAAGGCUAUAAUAGGAACUUUAAAAAGGUAUGAUAGUUUAUUUAAUAAGCUGCUUAUGAAAAGUAACUCUCUACUUACUUUUAAAAGUUGUUGUCAAAAUGGAGAAAAUGAUUAAAUAAGCAACUUUUACAAAAUUUACCAAACAUUAUUUUUGUCACAAAUUACAAAAUAAGUUGCUUAUUGAGUUUCAACAUCAAUUCCAAACGGGGCAUAUAUUAUUAAGUCAGCACCAGUUAGUCAUUUAGGUGCAAUAAGCAGUCUCUAUUAGAAAAUUCUGGUACAAGUGGCAGAGGGAAAGAAGUAAUAGAGUAAUAGGAUUCUCAUAUAACUAAUUAUCACCACAUUAUUGAAGUCCAAAAAGCUAUUAAGCUAUAUGGCUUGAUAACUUUUCCGAACUUUAAUAAAUCCAUGUUUUAGAUUGGAAUGUGCGUAUAUAAUUCACCUUAAAUUUUAUUAAAUAUUUAAAAACACAUAUUAACCUAAGUGUUGAUCUUGAAACAAUAAUAUUUACAUUAUUACAGAAUUCUUGAUGGAAUGGAAAAUAGAAAGAAGAAGAAUUGGGGUAAAGAGCGUGCACGAAGAAAAAAAAAAGAAAAUCAAAAUAAUAACGAUCUUAAAUUUUCUAAUUUUAUUAGUUAACUAAUUAAAAAUAAUUUUGUUUUAUGAAAAUGUGUAACAAUAUAUGCGAAAUUAUGUUAAGUAUAAAAUUGAUUCUUAAAUUCAAAUUUUGUGGUGAUUUAAAAAAAAAUUAUCAAAAUUAAAUUUUUGAGUUAAAAAAUUAUCAAAAUUAAAAUUUUGAUUUAAAAAAAUAUCAAAAUUAAAAUUUUGAUUUAAAAAAAUUAUCAAAAUUAAAUUUUAACUUUUAUAAGUGACUUUAGAGUCUCAAUAGUAAAUCUUAAAUGAGUCCUUAGUCAAGAUGAAACAAAAACAAAUGUAAAUUAUUUUAAAAAGUCAGCGUGCCCCUUAAAUUUCGUAAUUUCUACCAACGACAAGGACCGAUCAACAAAAAAAAAAUCCCAAAAAUUUCGUAAUUUCAAGAUUGGGGACGUGAACUUGAUAGCGAUAGUUGUCCAUUUUGUCAUUGUUGUAUGCCUGUCUGUAUCUAUUUUACUACUGUAUGCUCAAUUCAAUAAUUAGGGUACACAAUUUUGUGUGGCCAGCCUGGUUUCAUCAUUCAAAAUGCCAAUUUAGUCGUAUUAGUACCAAUUCAAAAAUUAAUCACGCAAAUGCGAGAAGAGAUGGAUACGAAUACUAACCAAGUCGAUAACAAUCCUUUGGCAUUCUGAUCUUAUCUGAGCUUUAGUUAGGGGAGCGUUGACAGAGACAAAUGAUAUUUAAACACUAUAGUGACAUUAAGAUAUGACUGAAGUGAUAGUACUGCGUGCAAACAAACAGUACAUACCAUUUUGGUCUGCCAUAGUGUUAUUGUUCAAUGAACAAAACAUUAUGGGUGGAACGUUAUUGCAAAAGAUACGAAUACUAAGUGGAUAAAAAAGAAAUAAAACUGUAAGUUUUAUUGCAAAAGAUACGUUAUUGCAAAACAUUUAUUUUUAACAUUUAACAUUAUUUUGUUUUUAAAAAAUAAAAAAUAAAACUGUAAGUUCCGAUUAAAAAAAAUGAAAAAGAAAAACAAAUCAGUUGCUUAUUACUAUUGCUUGAAGAUUAUCAAUGAAGAACAUGAAUUGGAUUCUAAUAUAUAACUCUCUAGUAAAGAUAAGAGAAAAUUCUCUUUUUUUUAAAAAAAAAAAUAUAUUAUUUCAUUUAAAGACAUCACAGUGAUAUUUUGUUAAACAGAGACUUAAAUAUCUUGUUAACAAUAAUAGACUUAUUUAGAAUGAAGUUCUUUGAUAAAGAAUUAAAUUGGGUGAGAUAAUAAUCAUAUAUAAAUAAAAGACUGUUUUGGUAUAUAAAAGAACGUAUAGAAUAAAAAUUAAUUUUUAAAAUUUAUUAACUGAGUGUAAAAAAACAAAUGAUAUUCAAAAUUAAAUUUAGAGUGUAAAAAAUCGAAUGAUAUUCAAAAUUAAAUGUAGAGUGUAAAUAAUUCCAUUAUAAAAUUAAUUUUAUCGUGUUAAUGUUGCACUGAUUUGUGUCCUUUAAUAAAAGUCAAAAUUCUCUCGAAUUUUCAUGAUAAAAUUAAUAUUUCACUGCACCCAGUUACAGUACAGUACAUCUAGAGGACUAUUUAUAUAUGAGUUUCUUGUCAAAACACAAACUAGCUAAGUCUGCAGAAGAGUAGAAGAAAACAAAAAGGUGAUAGCUAGAAAUCAGUUAAUCUAAAUCUAUAUAACAUGGAGGCAAAAGCAACAGUUAUUGGGAAUUCUCUCGUGGAGCCUUCGAUUCUGGAGCUGGCAAAUAAUCUGCCACUGACAACUGUUCCGCCACGUUAUGUUCGCCCUGAGAUAGACCAUCCCUUGAUUCGCAACGACGAUUCUUCAGCACAACAACUUCCAGUCAUUGACAUGCACACGUUGCUCUCUGGGGAUGACUCAGAGCUUGAGAAGCUUGACUCUGAUACCAAUUGUUGGGAAAAAUUAUCUUUUGAAUUUUUAUAAAACCUUUUGAAGAUCGCUCUCAUAUAAUAUAUAAGAAUUUGUAUUCUAGAAAUCGUACCUUGAAAAUCCGAGUUGGCUUUUUCCGCUGAAGUGAUUUAGGCUCCUAGAUCACGAUCCGCCACCACCACUCCUGUUAGAUCACGAUCCGUCACCACCACGCUUGUUAGAUCACGAACUGUCACCAAUGAUCUUCCAGGUUAUGACUCAGGUUCGAUCUGCACUUGACGUGUGGGCGCCUUUAUCACUACCAAAGCAACUAGCACGAGAAAAUUUUUCUCUCAACAAUAGAGAGAAAAAUCUUAUUCUCCAAUUUGUAUAAAGUGGCUUCUCUCUUUUCCUUUAGAGAAAAUAAACCUUAUAUAUCUUCCUUUAGUGAAAACCCUAGGCUCCAAAUAAUUCAAAAAACAAAACCCACGUUAUUUUCUUUUUCAAUAGGGGACCCACCUUGUAAAAUAACAUAAGGCCCCUUAUACAAAAGCUAAUUAAAUGGAGCCUCCCACUAAAUGAUAUAUUUAGGCUUUUGACCCAAAUAGCUAGUUAUCUUACUUAUUAGUCCAGUAGUGGUGCAGUCAAUUAAAUGAGCUAACCCGGGGAUCAUUUGGGAACAUACAAUAGUGGCUACAAUAAUUAGGCCUUUAAUUAAACUAGCCCAAUUAUUUAAUUCCAAAUCUACUCCACUAAAAGAUUGGAACUGACUUCCAUAAUUGUAUGCUCGAAUAAUAAUUCGCCCCAAGCCACAUUGAUUUCUUUACUGCACAAUCCUUUGUACCACAUCGUUAAUUAAAUUGAUAUCUCAACUGUCCAAUCAAUUUAAUAACAUCUUAUUCCUUGAUCCUUACUGGUUUUCUCUAAUGAUCAUUUUCAACAUACUAAAUAUGUUGACACACUCUGGCCAGAGAAUUCUAUGAUCAAGUACCGAAAACCUAUCAAGAGAUGUGUUGUACAAAUUCUAUAUUGUUAAUCCAUAACUCCAAUACUCAUAAUUGCUCCCACCAAGAUACCGGGUAAUCUUGACCACAAGGAUGUGUCGUGCCCAUUGGUAACUCAAAUGAAAUAACAAUCACAAUCAUGAAAUCAUAAUUAACUCAAGAUUAAGAUUACAGUAAAAUCAACGCCUAUGAGAUUUAAUAAGUCUGACAGUUAUUACAAAGUUAAUUAAAUCUCAUAUGUGAUCCUGUUCAAUGUAGUCGUACUACAUCAAUAAAUUCAUACAUGAUUAAGACAAAUCAUUCAAUGAAUUUAUUACAGUCUAUACCUAAAUAAAGUGCCCAACUUUAUUUAUCAACUGCGAACUAAAUUUAUUUAAUCAUAAGAUAACUUGUAUUUAUGUCUUCUGUGAAUCCACAUGGUGAUCACAUAAAUACAUAUAAUAUGAUUAAAUGGACUUUAAUACAAAUAUUAAUGCAAUUAAGAUAUUUGAAUAAAAUACCUCAUUUAUUUUAUUAAUCAGAAAAAUUGUUUAUUACAAUUAAAUAAACACAUAUGCUUUUAAAGAGCAUAUUUUCCCAACAAUCUCCCACUAGCUCUCAAAGCAUAUCUGGCAUAUUGCACAUGCUCUAGGGCUCUAAGUGCAGGUUAUAAAGGUUUCCCACUAAUGGCCAUUGUAAUAAGAUCUGCCAUUUAGCAUCUAAUGCCAUUUGGGGUACUGUCAUAUAACCUUUCUACACUAUUCCCUUAUAAGAUGAUACUUCCUUUCAAUAUGUUUUGUUUCUUGUGGUUCCUUGGUUCCUUAGAUUGAGCUACCGCACCACCAUUAUCACAAAAUAGUUUAAGGGGUGCAGUUACAACAGGUACCACCUCAAGAUUUCGUAGGAACUUGCAGAGCCAUAUAGCUUCUUUUGCAGCUUCAGAUGUAGCCACAUAUUCAGCUUUAGUUGUUGAGUCUGUGAUACAAGAUUGUUUCACACUCAUCCAACUAGUAGCUCCACUUCCCAAUGUAAACACAUAGCCGGAAGUUGAUUUUCUAAAAUCCUUAUCUGACAAAAAAUCAGAAUUAGUAUAACCCACUAGAAUAAGUUCAUCACCAGAAUACACAAGCAUAUAAUUUUAAGUUCUUUUCAGAUACUUCAUUAUAUGCUUGACCGCAGUCCAGUGUUCAGGUCCAGGAUUAGAUUGAUAUCUACUAACCAUCCCUACCGCAAAACAGAUGUCUGGCCUAGUGCAAAACAUGGCAUACAUGAGACUUCCCACAGCUGUUGCAUAGGGAACUCGUCUCAUUCUCUCUAUCUCUUCAGAUGUUUUAGGUGAUUGAUCCUUAGAGAAUGUAAUUCCAUGUCUGAAUGGUAAUAAACCAGUCUUGGAAUUUUCCAUACUAAAUCUAGCCAAUAUCUUAUCGAUAUAGACCGCUUGAGACAAGGCUAAAGUUUUAUUCUUCCGGUCUCAUAGUAACUUGAUACCAAGAAUAUAACUUGUCUCUCCCAGGUCUUUCAUAUCAAAUUGUUUUGCUAACCAAAUCUUUAUUGUAGUCAAUACUCCUAUAUCGUUUCCAAUCAGGAGAAUAUUGUCUACACAAAGAACUAGGAAGGCUACAAAUUUUCCCUGAAUUUUCUUGUACACACAUGGUUCAUCAAUGUUCUGAAUGAAUCCAAGUGAUUUAAUCGCUUGAUCAAAUCUGAUGUUCCAUGACUGGGAUGCUUGCUUCAAUCCAUAAAUAGAUCUCUGCAACUUACAUACCAUGUGUUCUUGGCCUUUUUUGUAUAAAUCCAUCUGGUUGCUGUAUGUAGAUGUUUUCUUCAAGAUGCCUGUUAAGAAAGGCAGUCUUGACAUCCAUUUGCCAAAUUUCAUAAUCUAGCACUGCAGCAAUGGAGAGCAGAAUCCUGAUGGAUUUAAGCAUAGCAACCGGAGAAAAGGUUUCCUCAUAAUUGAUUCCUUCUUUCUGAGUAAACCCUUCGGCUACUAAUCUUGCUUUAAAUGUUUCCACCCUUCCGUCUACUCCUCUUUUUCUCUUGUAGAUCCACUUGCACCCUAUAGGUUUUACCCCAUUUGGUGCCUCUACAAGUUCCCAGACUUUAUUGGAAUACAUAGAUUCCAUUUCUUGAUUCAUGGCCUUUUUCAAAAUUCAUCAUCUCUAUCUAUUAGAGCUUCAUUGUAACUAGUGGGAUCUUGUACAUGUUCAUCUAAGAUAGCCUUAUAGGUUUCUCCCAAAAACAUGUAUCUUGCAGGUAACCUAGUUACCCUCCCACUACGACGAGGUUCUAAAAGUGAUGAUUGUUCAAGGAUAAUCCUGUGCUGAUCAGCUGGUUGUUGCUGUUCUUCCUGUUCUAUAACAGGUGUUGAAAGCUGAGCAUCAACCUGAUCUCUUUUAUUUCUCUAGUUUUACCUUACUCUUAGGUUAUAAGUCAUUAUAUAGUCUUCCUCAAAGAAAGUAAAAAAUAUUUCUAUAAAUACAUUCCUAUCUUGAGGACUAUAAUUCAGACUUUCCCUUAUUCCUUUAAGAUACCUAAAACAUGCAAGCUUCUGAACACGAAUCCAUCUUCUCUAUCUCUGAUUCUAGUAGAAAUACUAGUAAACUCCAAAUACGAAUGUGUCUCAAACCAUGUUUGUGACUUUUUCAUAAUUUCUUGGAGUAGUGGACACCGAGAUAGAUGAAACUAAGUUCAAUAAACUUUGUAGUUUCAAAUACUAGUAUCUGGAAUCAAAAAGGUAAAUGAUAAACCACUUAGUAUAUAUCUUGUCUUAUCCAAAAGAAUCUUGUUUCUCCAUUUAAUUACACUAUUGUAUCAUAGUGUUCAUUGACAACCAAAUAGUGCUUGAAUUCUCCAUAGAGAUAUUCUUUGUUUCGAUCAUAUCGAAAUUCUUUUAUGUUCCUGUCUAAUUGCUUCUGUCUUAUUCACGUACUCUUUUGAAUUUCAAAAGCAAUGGAAUCAUGACUCAUUUAGACAAACAUAAAAUGAAUAUUCAUCAACUAGAUUGAUAGAAUACUCAUAACCUCUUAUAACAUGUAAACUGAUUAGUCCGUAUACAUUUGUAUGCGCUAAAUCAUCAAAUACAAUGUUAUGCUUUUAGCUCAUAAAGAGUAUCCUUGUCAUAUUACUUUUCUAAAUAAGAUUUAUAGAGUUACAAUGAUCAAUCUUAAUAGGCCAACAAGUCUAUCAUUAAUCAUUUUCUUAAAAUCUUAUUAUAGUUUAUAUGACUUAAGCAUAACUAUCAGAGGUGAUUUUUGGUUAGAAGAAACAUUUCUUUUCUUAGAUAAAUGCAUAUACUUUUAAUCAUUAUAUCUUACUUUGAAUAGAUCAAUGUACUUUUAUGAUAUAAAUUGUCUUUAUAAAUAACCAAAAUAAGUAAUAAACAGAGGAUCCAAAAAUAACAGUGUACUCCUGUUUAUUAAAACAAGCCACUGAAAUUAAAUUCCUCUAAUAUUUGGAAAAAUAAAGACAAAUAUCAAAACUAAAGUCUUGUAAAAUUGAUCUAGUCUUUCAAUUGAUAUAAACUAGCACAUCCUCAACUGCUAUUUGAAGCUUUCUUCACUUAAUCUCUUGGUUUCCUGAAAACCAAAUAAAUGAAUUACAAAUAAGAUUAGUUAUCUCAGAAUUCAUUAUUGUAUGAAUCAAUAGAAAUCUGAACUAAUUAGGAAGCUUAAAGAUUUCCUAUACCUGAUUUUAAUAAUCUUAGGACAAUCUUUCUUCCAGUGACCCUUCUGUCCACAUUUGUAACACUUGCCUUUUGGCUUGCCACUUCUUUUAAUGGACAGUUUGCCGAUCCCAACUCUUGCUUGCUCAUUCUUGUCUUUUGACUUAAGCCUUGAAGAGAAUCCUUUUUCAGGAAGUUUUCUGCUAUGAUAAAAUUCUUCUAUAGCAUGUAGUUCGUGCAUUAAUUCAAUUAAGGUCAUAUCUUUAUUGUUUAAGAUAUAGCUGACCUUAAACUCUUUGAAUGUAUCAGGUAAAGAUUCAAUCACCAUGUUAAUCUUUGAUUUAUCACCAUGAAUCUCUACCUCAUUCAAAUAGUCCAUCAUUUUGAGGACAUGAUCACGAACUUUUGUGCCCUCUUCCAUCUGAGUAUCUGAGUAUCCGUAAUACGUUUUAAUGCUGCUUCUCUGGCAAAAUGGGUAUUUUGCCCAAACAUCUGAUGAAGACUAGCCAUUAUUUCAGUGGCUGUUUCCAUGCUCCGAUGUUUCUUAUGCAGUUCCACAGAAAUCGAAGCCAAUAUAUAGCGCUUAGCCAUUUUGUUAGCUUCGCACCAUUUCUCAUAAGGCUCCCUCUGAUUUCUAUAAUCGUAUAACGAUGGUUCAGGAGGGCAAGGCUGGGUCAACACAUAUUUGCUUCCCUUAGCAGUGAGAAUAUUAAAUAGAUUGCGUUUCCAAUCUAAAUAAUUUUCGCCAGUGAGUUCAUUUUUAACAAGGAUAAAUAAUAAUGGGUUGAUGGAAGACAUUUUCUGAAAAAAAAAAAUACACAUGCAUAAAUACUUUGAAACAAUAUUCACAAUAAAUGACAAAAAUGCAAAAAACCAUAAAUGCAUUUUAAUUUAUUGUAACGAUAAUCUAGUACCGCUUUGACAAGCUAUCCGUUGGGGAAGUCAUGUCUACACUUACUAGACCCAAUUAUCCAUUGGAUUAUUUACUUUCAUGUAGAGACAUGAUAAAUAAUUAUCGUUAUCCCUUUGGACCUAAAUUUGUUAACAGAGCUUCGUUGGGAAGGUUAAUAACAAAUUUUAGUUGAGUGUAUAACCAUUGUUUCAAUCUACGUAUUUUUCAUAUCAAUAGUCACCGUUGGGGUGAACAAUCGAUUGAAAAAUAUUUCAAUUUUAUCUUUGAAGAAGUUCAUCAAAUAAAAUAUCUAAUAUAUAUACCCUCCGAAGGGAGCAUCACCGUAUCAUGAAGUCGAGGUAUAUAUAUAAUUUUAUUAUUGAACUAACAAUGGAGCCCGUGGGAAAAUUAUCUUGAAUUUUCCCUCUCCCACUCAAUAUUUUAAAAUUGGUUUUUCCUUUUUAAAACAUACAUAUUGUUAAUUGCAUGCUUCCUAUAAUAUUAUCUAGAUGAUAUCAAAUAUUAUUAAGCAUACGCAAAUUUCAAACAAUAUAAUGAAAUUCAUUAUUAAUGAAUGACAUGUAUCAUUAUGCAUAGAGUGGCACUACCUAUUCUAUAUGACAUGUUAUCAUGGCAUGUUAUCAUCCAAAACAUAACAUAUAGAAAAACAAUUAAAUAAUCUUAAUUCAUGGCUUUCCUAAUAAUGAAAAAUACAUUAACCCUAAGCCUAAUCUUCAUUGGGCUUCUUGUCAAUGUCCAUCUUCCAUAAUCUUGUCUUUGUUAAUGGACUAGGGGAAAUUGGGCUUUUAAAUUUAUAAUUGGUCCAAUUUUUAAUUUUAAAAAGAAAUAAAUAAAUAAAUAAAUAAUUUUAUUAAAAUAAAACUUUUGGACCAAAAAUAGAUUUAAUGUGUUCAAUUUUAUCUAUGCAUUAUAAUCCAUUAAACCCAAUUGAAAUUGGGCCUAAAGCUAGGAUUCACAAAGCCCAAAACUGUUUUUGGACUUAAAUGCAAAAAACUUAAACGUGUCUACCCAAAAGAAAAAAUUAUGGAGCCAUAGGGACCUCAAUGAUAAAAACCAUGAAACCCUAAAUCCAUAUUUUUCUUUCUCUCUUCCCCAGCCGCCAUCUCCAAAAACCUCCACCACUGUUCAGAUGCCAGCCGACCUCCGACGCAUCUCCGACAUCGAACCACCUGCCACCGCGUCGCCGGAAACGCAUCAAACUCGCGCGCGCUGCUGGCCACGCUGGCCCCGCGCGCUGUUUGCUGCGCGAGCAGCCUGUGCCAUCGCGUGCUGCGCGCACAAGCCACGCUUCCCGCGCGCGCUGGCUGCUGCGCGCUGCUGCUGCGUGCACGCUUGCGUUGCAGCGCGCGCUGCUGGCAGCAUGUGCUGCUGGCCGCGCGCUGCUCGCGCAGCAGCGUGUGCUGCUGGCCCCUCGUUGCUGAAAUUUCCGGCCUCGAUUGUUUGCGCUCGUUUUCCAGUGAUGAUGCUUCGGUGAUUUNNNNNNNNNNNNNNNNNNNNNNNNNNNNNNNNNNNNNNNNNNNNNNNNNNNNNNNNNNNNNNNNNNNNNNNNNNNNNNNNNNNNNNNNNNNNNNNNNNNNNNNNNNNNNNNNNNNNNNNNNNNNNNNNNNNNNNNNNNNAAGACAAACCAAAACAUGCUUUAUUCAUAUAUUAAACAAUUAAUAUAUAUCUGAAUAAAUUGUGCCACUCUAAUACAUAAAUUUCAAGAAUGAUUUCAUACGAAAUUCUUAUAUAUUAAUAUGAGAUGGCUCUGAUACCAAUUGUUGGGGAAAAAUCAGGUUUUUAAAUUUUUAUAAAACCUUUUGAAGAUCGCUCUCAUAUAAUAUAUAGAAUUCGUAUUCUAGAAAUCGUACCUUGUAAAUCUGAGUUUGCUUUUUCCGCUGAAGUGAUUUAGGCUCCUAGAUCACGAUCCGCCACCACCACUCCUGUUAGAUCACGAUCCGUCACCACCACGCUUGUUAGAUCACGAACUGUCUCCAAUGAUCUUCCAGGUUAUGACUCAGGUUCGAUCUGCACUUGACGUGUGGGCGCCUUUAUCACUACCAAAGCAACUAGCACGAGAAAAUUUUUCUCUCAAUAAUGGAGAGAAAAAUCUUAUUCUCUGAUUUGUAUAAAGUGGCUUCUCCCUCUCCUUUUUGGGAAAAUAAGCCUUAUAUAUCUCCCUUUAGUGAAAACCCUAGGCUCCAAGGAUUCCCCCAAAAUAAAACUCACGUUACUUUUCAUUUAAUAGGGGACCCACCAUGUAAAAUAACAUAAGGCCCCUUACACAUAAGCUUAUUAAAUGGAGCCUCCCACUAAAUGAUAUAUUUAGGCUUUUGACCCAAAUAGCUAGUUAUCUUGCUUAUUAGUCCAGCAGUGGUGCAAUCAAUUAAAUGAGCUAACCCGGGGAUCAUUUGGGAACAUACAAUAGUGGCUACAAUAAUUAGGCCUGUAAUUAAACUAGCCCAAUUAUUUAAUUCCAAAUCUACUCCACUAAAAGAUUGGAACUGACUUCCAUAAUUGUAUGCUCGAAUAAUAAUUCGUCCCAAGCCACAUUGAUUUCUUUACUGCACAAUCCUUUGUACCACAUCGUUAAUUAAAUUGAUAUCUCAACUGUCCAAUCAAUUUAAUAACAUCUUAUUCCUUGAUCCUUACUGGUUUUCUCUAAUGAUCAUUUUCAACAUACUAAAUAUGUUGACACACUCUGGCCAGAGAAUUCUAUGAUCAAGUACCGAAAACCUAUCAAGAGAUGUGUUGUACAAAUUCUAUAUUGUUAAUCCAUAACUCCAAUACUCAUAAUUGCUCCCACCAAGAUACCGGGUAAUCUUGACCACAAGGAUGUGUCGUGCCCAUUGGUAACUCAAAUGAAAUAACAAUCACAAUCAUGAAAUCAUAAUUAACUCAAGAUUAAGAUUACAGUAAAAUCAACGCCUAUGAGAUUUAAUAAGUCUGACAGUUAUUACAAAGUUAAUUAAAUUUCAUAUGUGAUCCUGUUCAAUGUAGUCGUACUACAUCAAUAAAUUCAUACAUGAUUAAGACAAAUCAUUCAAUGAAUUUAUUACAGUCUAUACCUAAAUAAAGUGCCCAACUUUAUUUAUCAACUGCGAACUAAAUUUAUUUAAUCAUAAGAUAACUUGUAUUUAUGUCUUCUGUGAAUCCACAUGGUGAUCACAUAAAUACAUAUAAUAUGAUUAAAUGGACUUUAAUACAAAUAUUAAUGCAAUUAAGAUAUUUGAAUAAAAUACCUCAUUUAUUUUAUUAAUCAGAAAAUUGUUUAUUACAAUUAAAUAAACACAUAUGCUUUUAAAGAGCAUAUUUUCCCAACAGUAAAGAGUGGGGUUUCUUUCAGGUACAUAAUAAUUGAGCAGUGAUAUUCAUAUAAUGAAAAUACUUAAUUGAUUGCAAAUCAUUGCUUUGGUUAGCGUUUUUUCAGGUCUCAGUGUUUUUACAUUUUCCAUAAAAAUCAUUUUACUUCCUGAGCUUUAAGUUUCCUAUAUGAACCAUGCAUGUAAAGACUGGGGUUUCUUUCAGGUACAUAACAAUUUAGCAGUGAUAUUCAGAUAAUAAAAAUUAGACAAAACGUUUACAAAAAACAAAGUAAAUCAGUACCGGAUUAGUCACUUGAUUGUAAACCCAUUAAACAGACUAAUUUAUCGUUGUUUUUGUCAGCAUUUUAUCAGCUCUCCGUUUCUUUAGCAUUUUCCAUAAAAAUCAUUUUGUUUCCAGAACUUCAAAAUUUCCUUUAUGAACCAUGUAUAUAUGGAAAGAACAUCUUGCUUUAAUUUGCAUAUAUGCGGUUGAUGAAUCAUGGAGUGAGCAGUUCAUUGGUGGAGAAAGUGAAAGCAGAGAUUCAAGAAUUCUUUAAUCUUCCAAUUGAUGAGAAAAAGAAGUUUUGGCAGCAGCCAGGAGAUGUUGAGGGAUUUGGGCAGCUUUUUAUUACGUCUGAAGAGCAGAAGCUUGAUUGGGGAUACGGCUUUACUAUGUUCACUCUCCCAACCCAUCUGAGGAAACCCCACUUGUUCCCCAAGUUGCCUCUUCCAUUCAGGUUCUAUACUUAAAUUUUAGACUUUUCUUAUAUAGUAUAUUCUAUCUUAUGAUAAUUACUGGACUAUAUAUUAUUAUUUGCAUGCGGAGAUGACUUGGAAGUUUACUUAACGGAACUUAAAAAUCUUACCUUGAAAAUCCUUGACCUAAUGGCUAAAGCUCUAAGAAUGGAUCCCAAUGACAUG
rnacentral:lncRNA from 1 species